AUCUUUUGUGAUGAAUAUUUAAUAUAUUCUUGAUAGGAAGAGUAUGAAACAUAAUGAGUACUAUUUAAACUAACUGAUUUGAU